AUUGAACGCUGGCGGCAGGCCUAACACAUGCAAGUCGAACGAGUGGCGGACGGGUGAGUAAUGUCUGGGUAUCUCCCAGAUGGAGGGGGAUAUCCACUGGACACUGUAGCUAAUACCGCAUACCCUCAGCUGUCCCCAUGUGGGAUUGGCUUGUGGGUGGGGUAACGGCUCACCAAGGCGACGAUCCCUAGCUGGUCUGAGAGGAUGACCAGCCACACUGGAACUGAGACACGGUCCAGACUCCUACGGGAGGCAGCAGUGGGGAAUAUUGCACAAUGGGCGCAAGCCUGAUGCAGCCAUGCCGCGUGUAUGAAGAAGGCCCUCGGGUUGUAAAGUACUUUCAGUGGGGAGGCGUUACCCACAGAAGAAGCACCGGCUAACUCCGUGCCAGCAGCCGCGGUAAUAC
rnacentral:rRNA from 1 species